UUGAGAGUGGAAAGACUGAAGAAAAGCAG
rnacentral:piRNA from 1 species